GACAGAGGGUGCAAACGUUGUUCGGAAUUACUAGGCGUAAAGCGCGUGUAGGCUGCUCAGAAAGUCGGAUGUGAAAGCCCUGGGCUUAACCUAGGAAGUGCAUUCGAAACUUCUGAGCUUGAGUUCUGGAGAGGAAGGCGGAAUUCUCGGUGUAGAGGUGAAAUUCGUAGAUAUCGAGAGGAACACCGGUGGCGAAGGCGGCCUUCUGGACAGUGACUGACGCUGAGACGCGCAAGCCAGGGGAGCAAACGGG
rnacentral:rRNA from 1 species